rnacentral:misc_RNA from 1 species
UACGUGAGGGGCAAACGUUGUUCGGUGUCACUGGGCUUAAAGAGCACGUAGGUGGCUAUGCAAGUAAGGUGUGAAAGCCCUCGGCUUACCCGGGGAAUUGCACUUUAAACUGCAUAGCUUGAGGGUCAGAGGGGUAAGAGGAACUCCAGGUGUAGCGGUGAAAUGCGUAGAUAUCUGGGGGAAGGCCGAUGGCGAAGGCGUCUUACUGGCUGAUACCUGACACUGAGGUGCGAAAGCGUGGGGAGCAAACAGG